rnacentral:rRNA from 1 species
GUCGGGCGGUAACAGGGAGAAGCUUGCUUCUCCGCUGACGAGCGGCGGACGGGUGAGUAAUGUAUGGGGAUCUGCCUGAUGGCGGGGGAUAACUACUGGAAACGGUAGCUAAUACCGCAUAAUGUCUGCGGACCAAAGCGGGGGACCUCCGGGCCUCGCGCCAUCAGAUGAACCCAUAUGGGAUUAGCUAGUAGGUAAGGUAACGGCUUACCUAGGCGACGAUCCCUAGCUGGUCUGAGAGGAUGAUCAGCCACA